rnacentral:tRNA from 1 species
GCACCCUUAGCUCAACUGGAUAGAGCAUCGGUCUACGGAACCGAAGGUUGCAGGUUCGAAUCCUGCAGGGUGUA